rnacentral:rRNA from 1 species
AGUGAACGCUGGCGGUAGGCCUAACACAUGCAAGUCGAACGGCAGCACAGUAAGAGCUUGCUCUUACGGGUGGCGAGUGGCGGACGGGUGAGGAAUACAUCGGAAUCUACUUUUUCGUGGGGGAUAACGUAGGGAAACUUACGCUAAUACCGCAUACGACCUACGGGUGAAAGCAGGGGAUCUUCGGACCUUGCGCGAUUGAAUGAGCCGAUGUCGGAUUAGCUAGUUGGCGGGGUAAAGGCCCACCAAGGCGACGAUCCGUAGCCGGUCUGAGAGGAUGAUCAGCCACACUGGAACUGAGACACGGUCCAGACUCCUACGGGAGGCAGCAGUGGGGAAUAUUGGACAAUGGGCGCAAGCCUGAUCCAGCCAUACCGCGUGGGUGAAGAAGGCCUACGGGUUGUAAAGCCCUUUUGUUGGGAAAGAAAAGCAGCAGGUUAAUACCCCGCUGUUCUGACGGUACCCAAAGAAUAAGCACCGGCUAACUUCGUG